GUGAGUCAUCGAAUCUUUGAACGCAUCUUGCGCUCUCUGGUAUUCCGGAGAGCAUGUCUGUUUGAGUGUCAUGAAUUCUUCAACCCAACUGUUUCUUGUAAACAGCUGGUGUUUGGAUUCUGAGCGCUGCUGGCUUCGUGCCUAGCUCGUUCGUAAUACAUCAGCAUCCCUAAUACAAGUUUGGAUUGACUUGGCGUAAUAGACUAUUCGCUAAGGAUUCAAUGUUCGCAUUGAGCCAACUUAAUUAUGGAAGCUUCUAAUUGAAAAGUCUACCUUUAGAUUAGAUCUCAAAUCAGGCAG
rnacentral:misc_RNA from 1 species